rnacentral:rRNA from 1 species
UACGUAGGGGACAAGCGUUGUCCGGAUUUAUUGGGCGUAAAGAGCGUGUAGGCGGCUUGGUAGGUCUCGCGUCAAAACCUGAGGCUCAACCUCAGUUCGCGUGGGAAACCACCUAGCUAGAGUCCGGAAGAGGAGAACGGAAUUCCCAGUGUAGCGGUGAAAUGCGCAGAUAUUGGGAAGAACACCAGUGGCGAAGGCGGUUCUCUGGGACGGUACUGACGCUGAGACGCGAAAGCGUGGGGAGCGAACAGG